rnacentral:rRNA from 2 species
AGAGUUUGAUCAUGGCUCAGAUUGAACGCUGGCGGCAGGCCUAACACAUGCAAGUCGAACGGUAACAGGAAGCAGCUUGCUGCUUCGCUGACGAGUGGCGGACGGGUGAGUAAUGUCUGGGAAACUGCCUGAUGGAGGGGGAUAACUACUGGAAACGGUGGCUAAUACCGCAUAACGUCGCAAGACCAAAGAGGGGGACCUUCGGGCCUCUUGCCAUCAGAUGUGCCCAGAUGGGAUUAGCUUGUUGGUGAGGUAACGGCUCACCAAGGCGACGAUCCCUAGCUGGUCUGAGAGGAUGACCAGCCACACUGGAACUGAGACACGGUCCAGACUCCUACGGGAGGCAGCAGUGGGGAAUAUUGCACAAUGGGCGCAAGCCUGAUGCAGCCAUGCCGCGUGUAUGAAGAAGGCCUUCGGGUUGUAAAGUACUUUCAGCGGGGAGGAAGGUGUUGUGGUUAAUAACCACAGCAAUUGACGUUACCCGCAGAAGAAGCACCGGCUAACUCCGUGCCAGCAGCCGCGGUAAUACGGAGGGUGCAAGCGUUAAUCGGAAUUACUGGGCGUAAAGCGCACGCAGGCGGUCUGUCAAGUCGGAUGUGAAAUCCCCGGGCUCAACCUGGGAACUGCAUUCGAAACUGGCAGGCUUGAGUCUUGUAGAGGGGGGUAGAAUUCCAGGUGUAGCGGUGAAAUGCGUAGAGAUCUGGAGGAAUACCGGUGGCGAAGGCGGCCCCCUGGACAAAGACUGACGCUCAGGUGCGAAAGCGUGGGGAGCAAACAGGAUUAGAUACCCUGGUAGUCCACGCCGUAAACGAUGUCUACUUGGAGGUUGUGCCCUUGAGGCGUGGCUUCCGGAGCUAACGCGUUAAGUAGACCGCCUGGGGAGUACGGCCGCAAGGUUAAAACUCAAAUGAAUUGACGGGGGCCCGCACAAGCGGUGGAGCAUGUGGUUUAAUUCGAUGCAACGCGAAGAACCUUACCUGGUCUUGACAUCCACAGAACUUUCCAGAGAUGGACUGGUGCCUUCGGGAACUGUGAGACAGGUGCUGCAUGGCUGUCGUCAGCUCGUGUUGUGAAAUGUUGGGUUAAGUCCCGCAACGAGCGCAACCCUUAUCCUUUGUUGCCAGCGGUCCGGCCGGGAACUCAAAGGAGACUGCCAGUGAUAAACUGGAGGAAGGUGGGGAUGACGUCAAGUCAUCAUGGCCCUUACGACCAGGGCUACACACGUGCUACAAUGGCGCAUACAAAGAGAAGCGACCUCGCGAGAGCAAGCGGACCUCAUAAAGUGCGUCGUAGUCCGGAUUGGAGUCUGCAACUCGACUCCAUGAAGUCGGAAUCGCUAGUAAUCGUGGAUCAGAAUGCCACGGUGAAUACGUUCCCGGGCCUUGUACACACCGCCCGUCACACCAUGGGAGUGGGUUGCAAAAGAAGUAGGUAGCUUAACCUUCGGGAGGGCGCUUACCACUUUGUGAUUCAUGACUGGGGUGAAGUCGUAACAAGGUAACCGUAGGGGAACCUGCGGUUG